UAUAAUGGGUCAGCGACUUAUAUUCUGUAGCAAGGUUAACCGUAUAGGGGAGCCGAAGGGAAACCGAGUCUUAACUGGGCGUUAAGUUGCAGGGUAUAGACCCGAAACCCGGUGAUCUAGCCAUGGGCAGGUUGAAGGUUGGGUAACACUAACUGGAGGACCGAACCGACUAAUGUUGAAAAAUUAGCGGAUGACCUGUGGCUGGGGGUGAAAGGCCAAUCAAACCGGGAGAUAGCUGGUUCUCCCCGAAAGCUAUUUAGGUAGCGCCUCGUGAACUCAUCUUCGGGGGUAGAGCACUGUUUCGGCUAGGGGGCCAUCCCGGCUUACCAACCCGAUGCAAACUACGAAUACCGAAGAAUGUUAUCACGGGAGACACACGGCGGGUGCUAACGUCCGUCGUGAAGAGGGAAACAACCCAGACCGCCAGCUAAGGUCCCAAAGUCAUGGUUAAGUGGGAAACGAUGUGGGAAGGCCCAGACAGCCAGGAUGUUGGCUUAGAAGCAGCCAUCAUUUAAAGAAAGCGUAAUAGCUCACUGGUCGAGUCGGCCUGCGCGGAAGAUGUAACGGGGCUAAACCAUGCACCGAAGCUGCGGCAGCGACGCUUAUGCGUUGUUGGGUAGGGGAGCGU
rnacentral:rRNA from 1 species